rnacentral:rRNA from 1 species
GACGGGACCGCACAAGCAGCGGAGCGUGUGGUUUAAUUCGUUGCUACACGAAGAACCUUACCUGGGUUGACAUAUAGGUGUAGGGAACUGAAAGGGACCGACCCUUCGGGAGCCUAUACAGGUGUUGCAUGGCUGUCGUCAGCUCGUGUCGUGAGAUGUUCGGUUAAGUCCGCUAACGAGCGCAACCCUCGUCGUAUGUUAUAUGUGUCAUACGAGACUGCCGGUAAAAGCCGGAGGAAGGUGAGGAUGAUGUCAAGUCAGCAUGACCUUUAUAUCCAGGGCUACACACACGCUACAAUGGUCUGUACAAUGGGUAGCCAAGCCGCGAGGCGGAGCCAAUCCUGAAAGCAGGCCUCAGUUCAGAUUGCAGUCUGCAACUCGACUGCAUGAAGCCGGAGUUGCUAGUAACCGCAGGUCAGCAAUACUGCGGUGAAUACGUUCCCGGGUCUU